UCAGACCCGGCCAGAAGUUAAAGAGCCGCGUUGAAAACGCUUCGCCCAAAGCUGAAUGAUUUUUUUGCACUAACCAAAAAGGCCGCCUCGCGGCCUUUUUUCUUUUCAGCAUUCGCUCUCCCUCUUAGAAUCAGUCACCUGGCUGAUGAGUAAAC
rnacentral:sRNA from 1 species